AGGAGCCGGCCAGCUCCCCAGCCCAGGCCGGGGGCCGCGCCGCCGCCUCCCCCAGCGUCGCCCCUCGCCUGCCUGCCCGCCUUAAAUGUGACACCGGUGCCUCGGAGUGCGACCCGAAGCCGCCACCGGGGAGGGGACGAGCACCAUGUUGAAUCUAAGCAAAGGCACGGGGAGCCGGAAGGACACCAAGAUGCGGAUCCGGGCCUUUCCGAAUCUUUCAUCCGCAACCUUCCAGUGUGCUUUACAACCUCCUGUGCAGGAAUGGCCUAGCCACUCAAGAGAAAACGAAUGGGACGGUUGGUUCUUCAUUUCCUAGCCAUGGAAGCCCAAAAGAAGAAGUAAUCACCACCAUUGUGAGGAGUGUCAGAACUUCUUGAUUGACAGCUGUGCUGCCCACAGGCCCCCGACCUUUGUAAAGGACUCUGCAGUGGAAAAUGUGCACGCCAAAUGCUCAGCCCUCACUCUGCCCCCUGGGUUAAGUAUCAGACCAUCAGGCAUCCCUGCGGCUGGGCUUGGAGCGUGGAGCGAAGCAUCUGAUCUGUCUUUGGGCCUGCACUUUGACCCCUAAGAGGGCCAGACGAUGAAGAGGCCACUAAUGGUGGAUGCUCCUUGGCUGGCUGAAGAGCAUCAGUGACAGCAGAGGGAAAUACCUCUUCUAUUAUUUGCUGCCAAAAAAAAAUCAGAGAAGAAAGCUUGUAUCUCUUUUCUGACACUCAGCUUACCAAAGGGAGAAACCACUAUGAGUAUGUGGGUGGAAAGGACACACCUUUGGUCAACUGGAUGAGGUAUGUGAACUGUGCCUGGGACGACGACGAGCAGAACCUGAUGGCCUUGCAGUAUGGCAGAUCUUCUACCAAAUCUGCCAGGUGGUCAGCCGGGCUGUGAACUUCAGGUCUGAUAUGCAGACGAGUGUGGCAAGGAACUUGGCGUCAAGCGGGACAGCAGGGAAAAGAGCGAGCUCGUGGCUGGGAAAGAACCAAAGCCUAAGAUCUACCCUGUGUAUCCGACUCUCUGGACUUCUCAAGUCAAAAAUUCCUCUCAGAUCCUCCUGAGACCAUCUGCAAGAGACCACCUCCAACCAGAGGAUCCCUGCCCGGUCAGUCAACAUCAGCAGCUGUGAUAUUCUGAUCCACACAGCCUGAGUGAAAAACUGGAGCAACGAGAGGGCAAAAAAGUCCCCAUCCUUCGAUGAAAGGCCGCACGUUUUGCAUAAGGCCGAAGAGGAUUUCAAUGGCCUCUUCCUACUCACCCAAAAGACAAAUGGGGGGUUCUGAGGUGCAUGAGAGAACGACAUAAGAGCCCAGCACAAGCCAGAAACUGAAUGCAGAAGAAACAGGCAAAUUACUUAUGGGGGCAGGGGUAUCAGGAAUUAUAAGACUCAAGUAUGGAGAGUGAGGGUAAGUCUCCAAGGAUAGGUAAAGUCUCAUCACAACCAGAGGACUCACACAUGGGAGGAGCCCUAUGUAUGUAGAAAGUGUGGACAAAGCGUCAGUCAGAAGUCCCAUCUCAUCAGACAACAGAAGACACACACAGGGGAGGAGCCCUAUGUCUGUGGGGAGUGUGGGCAAAAGUCAGUCAGAAGCGCAUCUCAUCAGAAAACAGAAGACACACACAGGGGAGAAGUCCUAUGUUUGAGGAGAGUGGUGCGAAGUUUCAGUGAGAAGUCGGGUGUCGUCACGCAGCAGGGGACAUACACCGGGUCGAAAGCAUAUGUUUGCAGGGAGUGUGGGUGAAGCAUCAGUUAGAAGUCAGUUCUCAUUAGAGACCAGGGGACACACAGGGGAGAAGCCCUGUUUGUGGGGUGCGAGGGUGAAGCUUCAGUGUGAGGUCCAAUCUCAUCAGACUGCAGAAGACACAUACAGGGAAGAAGCCCCGUGUUUGUGGAGAGUGUGGGCGAAGACUCAGAAGUCAGGUGUCCUCACACAGUAGGGUACACACAGAGAGGGUGUGGGGGAAGCUUCAGUUGGAAGUCAGUUCUUACAGACAAGAGGACAUAGGGGAAAGCCCUGUGGGUGUGGGUGAAGCUACAGUGUGAGAUCCAAUAUCAUCAGACUCCAGAAGACACA